CCAGUUGGAAACGACUGUUAAUACCGCAUAAUAUCUGUGGAUUAAAGGUGGCUUUCGGGCUGUCGCAGAUGGAUGAGCCUGCGUUGGAUUAGCUAGUUGGUGGGGUAAGGGCCCACCAAGGCUACGAUCCAUAGCUGAUUUGAGAGGAUGAUCAGCCACAUUGGGACUGAGACACGGCCCAAACUCCUACGGGAGGCAGCAGUGGGGAAUAUUGGACAAUGGGGGCAACCCUGAUCCAGCAAUGCCAUGUGUGUGAAGAAGGCCCUAGGGUUGUAAAGCACUUUAGUUGGGGAGGAAAGCCUCAAGGUUAAUAGCCUUGGGGGAGGACGUUACCCAAAGAAUAAGCACCGGCUAACUCCGUGCCAGCAGCCGCGGUAAUACGGGGGGUGCAAGCGUUAAUCGGAAUUACUGGGCGUAAAGGGUCUGUAGGUGGUUUG
rnacentral:rRNA from 1 species